rnacentral:tRNA from 1 species
GUUGGUCUGGUGUUAUUUGUAGCAUAUCAAUUUUUCGUGUUGGAGGUAUCUUUUAUUGUUGGCCGAUG